ACUCUCAGCUAUGCAAGCUGUCCAAAACCAGAGAAAAUGCAUUCACCAUCAUUCAUUCAAUUGCUGUCUUGCCAGAAACUUGCUAACAUCAAAGUUUGUAGUGCCCUAUGUACUGUAACUUCCCCACCCUUCCUUCAGAGUACAGGCACUGUACUUCCCACCUCCAGGACUCAAGUCCCAACUAUCUGGUUUCCCCUGAAUCCCUCCCUUCAUGUCACUUUGCUCACACUCUAGCAGCACGUCGAGCUUUUAAAAACCACUUGCCUGUUGGAUGUUCAAGCCUCUACCACUCAAAACUUCCUUUACCCCCUCUCUCCAACCUGUCGUAAGACGACCCCUACCUCUCCAGAUCAUCCUAUUUUGCUCACAUUAUUAUUAUUAUUAUUAUUAUUAUUAUUAUUAUUAUUAUUAUUAUUAUUAUUAUUAUACGAGGAAUAUUGAAGGCAGUAUAUCAAUAAUUUUCUUUUUAUCAGUGAUGGAGGUAGAAGGGCAAAGGUGCGAUCACGCUUACUUCCUAAUGAAUAAGUGCAUUUGGUGUUGGUGUAAAGAUGGUCACCUCACCUGCAACCACGACACCUGUGUUGCAUCCCUCCAGCAGGUACCAGCCACCAAACGUACACCUACUGACAACUCCUGUACCUAGCAACUGACUACUCACAUCCCCCACACUCUCUGAUCAUCAACUCUCCUGGACUGGAACUCCCACCCGGAGAAAGACGUAGUGGAAGCUGACUCUGUGCUGAGGCACUGCUGAGAUGUUAUCUUACAGUCGACAGUCUCAGAGAUGCUUAACACUCUUGUCUUCAAGCAGGAAAACAAGCAAGCAAUUUGCCGAACAGAUUUCUAAUGGGUAGAGGUUAAUCAAGUCAGAAAGAAGUACGUCUCUCUAUCUCUCUCUCAAACACUAGCAUUUGGAGAUGUCACCUACAUUACUACGGUAAUGUGGCUUCCUAAUCUUAACCAGCCAGUCAUAAAUCCACUCAAGGAACUCCAUCAACAUUAUUCAUAUGAGUAUAUCCACAAAACAUCCACUUCCAGCUGGUGAGACUCGAACCCGCGGCAAGGAUGUUGUCACUGUUCUUCCUGAAGUAAGGUAGCCAAGAGCACAUUAAGACAUGCAUGCUUACAAUCAUUUAAAUGUAUUAACGAUUAAACUGAAAAUAAUGA